UCUCUCUCCUCUUUCUCUCUCACGGCUGCUUUGGGAUCUCUCCAGUUGCAGCAACCUGCUUUGGGAUCUCACCAUAGUAUCUAGAUCUGCUACUCUCUUGUUUCCUAGGGUUUUGGAUCUAUUUUCUGCACUUUGCAAGGUUUUUUGACUGAUUAUGGUGGGGAUUUACUAGAUAUAGAACUAGGGUUUGGAUUUCAGAAAAUUCAAGUGAGAAGAUGCUUUUUCUUUUUCCAUUUUUCAUCUGUGGAUUUCUUGUGUAUUUUUCAGGACUUUCUCCUCUCGUGAGCUGAGAGAGUAAAAAGACAGAUCAGGAUCUCAUUCCACGCUCUUCCAUCUCCAAUUUAAGGUACUGCCCUUUUCCAACUCACUCACUCAUUUCAAAACCCUAGAUUUCUACUCCUAUUUCUCCAAAUUUCUUCCAAUAUCCCGACUUCCCGACGAGAUUCGACGAUGUUGCUUUGGAUUUUGGUUUCGCUUUCCAGAUUCCUACAAUUCUCUCCCCUUGAUCUGAUUUUUCAAUAAACCUGCGUUUGCAACUGAAUGGUUUUCGGUAGCAGUGGAUCCAGCUCGGCGAUCCAUGCCAUUUAUCCGAUGGGCCGCACUCUUGGAUGGGGAUGCCUAGAAAGCUCUUGGAUUGGAAGAUCUUGACCUUUUAACCGUUGUAAUGUUUUCUGUUGGAUGUGGACUGUUGCUGUACUCUCUGCUUCACAAUCCAUUCAAAGGCCAUUUGUCAGAGGUUCAGGAUCUUCCAAUCUGGCUGAUUCUUGUUUCUCAAGAGUCUGCUUUCUGCAUUUGGGGCCUUGCCCCUGUCUUGACUCUUGAGUUCUCUUAUAAAGAAGUGUGUAGGUCCUGCUGUAUAUUCUCUGCUAUACACAGCCAUGGGCUGUGUGUGGAGUUUGAGGAUGUUUCAUUUACAUCUGCAAAACCAAGACAAUAAUUACCCUCUUAACUGUAUUUUUCUCUAUAAGAAUUAACCAAAAAUGAAGAAAUGUCUCCAAAGCUUCCAGGUAGAAAUAUAAGUCUAAUGCAUAUUUGCAUUAACUCAAUACAACUCUAGUAUUAUUUCACCACUCAAACUGAAAGCUUGUAGUAAAAAAUGACAUGAAAAACGCUUAUGAAAACCAAAUCACAUCCCAUGUUCAUACAGCUAAUGCAUAAAAAAUCCCCUGUUAUACAUGCAAUUUUGCAAUCCAAGAGCGCUGCAAAUUGAUGGUCACAAUUCUUUCUCGAUGAUUUGUGGUGCAGAUUCCUACCUCUUCUCGUCUGUACUCAUACAGCUCGUACAAGUGAAGACAUGCACAAGGAAGACAUACCUGCAUUAUAUGAACCUUGGACGAUAGAUCUCUGCAUUCUUCAAUAAGUGCUCUUUCCCUGGCAACUACCCUGACAAGUUCUGAAAUCACAUGAUCCACUCCUACUGCCUGUGUUCAUAGAAACUCUAAGUCGAAAUAGAUAUCCAAGCCAACCCAAAAUAGUUGGGACAAGGCUACGGUGAUGGGUUCAAAAUAGAUCCCCAACUGCCCAAAUAGAAAAAGGUAGCUGAGGUUUCAUUAGAAUUAAGAUAUUCCAUAAGAUAUUGCACUGCAACAUAUGCACGUUUCUAAUUUCCUGCAAGUUGCAAACAAAUUACCAUUCUAAGCUUUCUGCAGAAUAGUUUUUUUUCUCCAAGGUAUGUACAUUAAGUAGAACAUAAUACCAGUUAUGAACAAAUUACUAAUGCAAGCUUACCUGCAUGAUAGCUUUUCCAAGAUUCCUUAGAAAGAAAGAGAUGGAGAACAUUUCACAUGUAUAGAGGAACUAACUGUUGUCUAGAAUCAACCGGACUAGCAUGUGCAAUCUUAGAACAAGGUCAAGGUUGGGUUAAAAUUUAAUUCUUGUUUGGAGUUAGAAUACAAGACAGCUUUGCAUGUUGCAGACUCUAGAAAUCAGAGUUUUUUUUUUUUUUGAAAUGUCACAACAUAAAAAUUGUAUCAAGGGCUUAGAUGAAGCUAUGGCCCUUGAUAGAGUGGAAUGGCGGAACAUGAUUCAUGUAGCCAACACCAAUUAAUCGAGAGGCUUAGCUGAUGCUGAUGAUGAUGAAAGGAUAGGAAGUGUCACAAUAAGUGAAAUAUCAUGUUUGACAAAUUGAGUACAAGUGAGGAUCUUUUCUUUCAAUGCCAUCCAGAUGGAAGCCAGGGCUGUAGGCAAUGAAUCAGAACUCCAUAAUCAAUAUAUUUGAGAAGUGCCAUGAUUGCAAGUGGAAAGAAGAAAAUUAAAUGAUUUGUUGGAAAAGUCCUGUUAGAUACCAAGGGCAAGACAGCAUCAUGUUGGCCAUCAAGACAUCAGACAAACAGACUCCAUAUCUCAUUAGAAAAUCAAGAAGCCACUCAAAGAAUAACCAGAGAUAGCCUCACAAUCUAUUGCAGACCAAAUUGCUCAUGCAUCGAAUCCAUUUAGACAGUAACAAACCCUGGCCGCAAGAUCCACAUGCCUUUAGACAUCGAAUCUAUUUAGAAGCAACUUAGCCAGCUGCCCCCAAGAUCAUCAACCCCAUUCUCCUUUAUAUCCAGCUCAGUCAAAUUCCUGUAACCCAUAUCAAAUUUCAGGAUCUUUGACAAACAGCGUAACUAGCAAAAAUCUACUGUGGGACAAUGUUAACCUUCCAUUUGUGGCCUUUGGUAAUGACAAAUUUUUAAGUGAAAAAUAAUCCACAAUCUAUGUAAAUCAUGGUGGCCCUAGAAGCAAACCCUUGGUUGACAUCCCAUCUCCAUUCUUCCCUAUGGUGUGGCCCACCUGAGUUGUGGAUUAUGAGUAUAUUAAUGUGUAUUUUGUAUUGGAUUGUACUUGCCUGCAAAUAGUACCUUUCAAAAUGUAGCAUAUCAUAAUAUGGUAGCUUGUAUUCUAUAUCUUUCAUUCAAAUGCCUGUAUCUCACUUUUGUUGUCACCUUUUCUAAUUUGGGAUCUACCUUAACUGUUGUUUCCAAAUUCAAAAUGCAAGGGGUACUUCCACAACCAACUGAAGCCGUCAAAGCUUUCCUGGACCGUGAUGUAAAGUCAGCAGCAAUGGUGGAUACUCACAAUCUCAAGGAGUUUUAUCUGUUUUUGUCUCUUAUGCAUUCAUGCAAAUUUGAUUAAUUUACAGUUUAUAGCUUAGUAGAAUUGGCCAUUCAAAGUGGACCUGAAAUAAAGCAGGUAUCUUUAAGGUAAGUUUUCUUAUUUAUUGUUUUUUAGUUGUUUGAGAAUUAGUAACAACGUUUACUAUGGUUGAUAUUUCUGUUAGGUUGAUACUCAUUUUUAGGAUUUGUAUUAUGCUCAUGAGUUUCUUCUCUUUUGAGUCGUCUAUUGAGAAUUCAUGUUCAAAAUACACCGUAGUAGUGUCCAAGCAUUUAUUUUGAAAGAAAUAUUAAGAAGUGGCAGCAAUUAUCUGUCAAAAGCAGAAUUAAUGGAAGCUGUGUCAAGGCUUGGGCUAAAGAGGACCUUCUCGAGGAACAAAAUCACGAGUUGGCCACCUAAUGACCAGUAUUACUUUGCCUAUGGGAUAGAUUGGACCAUUUGAAUGAGGAGCCACUUUAGAACAGGAUGAAAAUAGCAAUUGCCUCAUGUGAAAUCAAAUAUUUUGAUUCUCAGGUUUUGAGUAGGACUUGAGCGUCGCAAAGUCAAUAGCAGAGGAAGCCCGGGUAAAUGUAUCUUAAGCCCUUUUUUAACUCCACCAAUGCUUUCAGCUUCUUAACCAAAGUUCCGCACUCUGCAGAUUUGGGCACUGUAUGCAAAUGAUUUGAAGACUUAAGUUAAUGUGCAGGGAGAAAAUGAAUCUGUUCCUAGCGAGCAAUUGCUAGGUUCGGAGGAUGGGAAAAGAUCUUAUACAUUGUUUCAGGGUCAUGCUGGGCCUGUUUAUUCAACUACAUUUAGUCCUCUUGGGGACUUUAUUCUGUCUUCUUCUUUGGACUCAACAGGUA